AUGGUGGAUUCCCCCGCUGCUCGUGAGAAGGUGGAGGAGGCGACCUCGCUGCCAGAAGAAUGGCUCAACCUCGCCAUUCUCUGCAAGGCAUUCGUUUCCAAGGCGAUGAACGGCCUGGGGACGCUGGCGACCAUCUGGGCGACUGUUGUCCUGCUCGGUGGAUUCGCGGUCCUCAUUAAAAAGCAGGACUUUUGGUACGUCACCAUCAUCGCUUUCGUCGAAUCAAUCGGGGUCCUGGGUGGUUACGAGGAUCCCACAUACCAAAUUUUCAUACGCACACCAGGAUUGCUGAUAGACGCUUUGAAGUCGGCAGAUAAGAAGGAGCAACAACCCAGUUUGUGGAGAAGAAGAAUCCAGCAUCAUCAACAACAACAACAAAACCAGUCUAGAGGCACGAGAAGAAACAGGCUGCAGGUUAGAAAACAUAAACAUUUUGAGGAGCUGACCAUGUCCAAAAGAUGCCUCGGGGUGGUCAUCCUUGUGGUCAUGCGGCUGGUCGAGAUCGCCGCUGUUGCCAUAUGCAUUGCCGUGUCCUUUGGGCGUCUCAAGAAGCAGGACUACGUGGACCCCAAGGACAGAGACGCGGCGGACCACCAGAACAUCAGGCUGUCCCUGAACAUCUUCUACGGGCUGGUGCUCGCGCAGAGCAUCAUCUUCAUCAUCAUGCGGCUGAGCCCGGAUUCGCUGUUAGGGUUCCACAUCAGAGUCAAGUAUAGAUUAUUUGGGUCGUCCGGCCGAGAAAUAAUGUACCGCUACCUGAGUGAUAACUACCUAGAGUUCAUCACUGGGAAUGUGCGCACCACCCUCAAGAUGAACCUCAUCACCUUCGCCAUGAAGUUGGUGGUGUCUGACUCCACUGUGGAUGACCAGUUGGUUGGGAUCCGAGCCAUGGACCGCAUCCUCAGAUCAGUGGAGUACAACAGCCUGGCCCUCACGAGGCUUCGAGCAUCUCUCGACGCAGACUCUUUGGGGAGGCUGGUCGGGGUGCUAGGCUUGGUUAGGACACCAGACGAAAAGGAAAUGAGAGGCCAUGCUGCAAGAGUAGUUCUCAAACUAGCUCCAGACAUUCCGGUCGACACUUGUCCUCAAGCCAUGUCUCUCAUCUCUUCUUCCCUGGUGGAGACGGCAAGCAACAUGGAUGUGGAUCUCGUCUGGUUUGGCUUGCGCAUCCUAGACAAGCUCACAGAUAACCAACAGAACUGUCGGCAGGCCAAGGGCGACCUCAGUGAUCUACUGCCCAAGAUCAUAGACCUCACCAACCUCAACCAGCGUGGGCGUGACAGAAGCAUCUCCGACUCUUGGAUUGAACAAGAGAUUAUUCCUCUGCUUGAAAGAGAAGAGGACAUCCCUCCCACUGCCAUACAGAUGAUUGACCAACAGAUUAUUGUUGGCAUGUCGCUCAAAAUCUUGAGCAAGCUGGUUGCCAAGCCUGGUGAUGUUGGGAAGGGCCUCAGGGAAAAGGCCUCAACAUAUCUGAACCUCCUGACCGACAGCGGGACAAUCUUGGAGCACGUGGGAGCAGCAAAAGUCAUAGCAUGCUUAGCACUGAGUGAAGAUCAAAAGCAAGAGAUUGGGGGAUCACCUCAGAUCAUAAGGAAGCUCAAGGAGUGUCUUCUCUCCAAGGAGCCACACGUAGAUAUCACCAAAGUGGCUGCCAAGUUAUUGCUUCUUGAGUACAGUACCAGGGAUCAGCUGAACCAGAUUAAGUCGUCCCUCGAGGAGAAGAAUGUUCUGCUGCAAGAUCCAAGCUUCUCUGUACCGACCACGGCCUUCAUAGGAGCACUUGGCCGGGAUCAAAUUUUGCCAUCAUGGAUGCAGAAGCAGCAGAUCGCCGUGCAAGAUCUUGAUCUGGAUGAUCUACUUUCAGCGGAGCAGGAGAGCCGCUGUGAGGCGGCUGCCAAAGCACUAAUUGUGCUAACUAGUGGAUGUGAAAAAAAUGCCGCGGCUGUCCUACAAGAGAUCGCUGAGAAUGAGAUGAAGACAAUAGUGGGGAUGCUCUUCCAGGAGGACCGAGAGGAGAAAAGGAGGAGGAUGCUGGCCCGCUUACAGGAACGCAAUCUUCACCCUGAAACGUCGCGGGUAGUCAAGAAGAUAAUAUGUGCUGAGGGUGGAGGGCGCACAAGAAGCCUGCAUGCAAAGCUCCUACAGAAUCUGCGUGCCCAUGGAGUGACAGCAAAUUCUACUCAUCACAUUCCAGUAAUAGACGGAGAACUGCCAGAGGUGCUAAAAGCCAUAGUUGAUGAGGUGGCCAAGUUGGAGCGUCCAGCAUGUACCAGUGAAAACUUAUCUCAUAAUGAUGGCCCUUGGGUUGAAUCGGGAAAGGUGCUUGAGAGUUUUAUAGGCCUCACAUUCCAGAUUUGCAAAGGCCUGGAUGCAAGUGGUUUUGCCAAAACACUAGAGGGUGCCAAUCUUACUCUGGACACAUUGGUCAUGAAGCUUAACAAAAUACUAGAAUUGUACAAGUAUCCAACUACCGAUUUUCCUAGCAUAAGGCGAUCUACACUAGAACUCAUGGCCUGGAUGGUACAAAAGAACAGCAACUACAGAGACAUAUUCCUACAAUGUGGAGUGUAUGAGCAGCUGAAAGAAGUGGCAAAGACUGCUGGAAGAGUUGAGAGAUUUGAGCUGUUCCACUGCGGUGUUGGGGUUGGUGGUAAGGACAUAUCAUACAUCCUUUCUCUUGUGAGUGAAUUAAAGGAACAGCUUGAGCUCUGCCCCCAUUUCGAACAAAGAUCACACUACUACGGGGCACAUGCAGGCACCUUAACUGUUUUGGUCGCCUAA
rnacentral:rRNA from 1 species